CUUCGGGUUGUAAACCGCUUUCGCCUGUGACGAAGCGUGAGUGACGGUAAUGGGUAAAGAAGCACCGGCUAACUACGUGCCAGCAGCCGCGGUAAUACGUAGGGUCCGAGCGUUGUCCGGAAUUACUGGGCGUAAAGAGCUCGUAGGUGGUUUGUCGCGUUGUUCGUGAAAACUCACAGCUCAACUGUGGGCGUGCGGGCGAUACGGGCAGACUAGAGUACUGCAGGGGAGACUGGAAUUCCUGGUGUAGCGGUGGAAUGCGCAGAUAUCAGGAGGAACACCGGUGGCGAAGGCGGGUCUCUGGGCAGUAACUGACGCUGAGGAGCGAAAGCGUGGGGAGCGAACAGGAUUAGAUACCCUGGUAGUCCACGCCGUAAACGAUGGUAACUAGGUGUGUGCGACACAAAGUGCGCGCCCAAGCGAAAGCGAUAAGUUACCCACCUGGGGAGUACGCUGGCAACAGUGAAACUCAAAGGAAUUGACGGGGGCCCGCACAAGCGGUGGAGCAUGUGGUUUAAUUCGAUGAUACGCGAGGAACCUUACCAGGGCUUAAAUGCAUAAUGACAGGGGUAGAGAUACCCUUUUCUUCGGACAUUUUGCAAGGUGCUGCAUGGUUGUCGUCAGCUCGUGCCGUGAGGUGUCAGGUUAAGUCCUAUAACGAGCGCAACCCCUGCCGUUAGUUGCCAGCAUGUAAAGAUGGGGACUCUAACGGGACUGCCGGUGCAAACCGCGAGGAAGGUGGGGACGACGUCAAAUCAUCACGGCCCUUACGUCCUGGGCCACACACGUGCUACAAUGGCCGGUACAGCGGGAAGCCACCCCGUAAGGGGGCGCGGAUCCACAAAACCGGUCACAGUUCGGAUCGGGGUCUGCAACCCGACCCCGUGAAGCUGGAAUCGCUAGUAAUCGGAUAUCAGCCAUGAUCCGGUGAAUACGUUCCCGGGCCUU
rnacentral:rRNA from 1 species